rnacentral:rRNA from 1 species
UACGAAGGGGGCUAGCGUUGCUCGGAAUCACUGGGCGUAAAGGGUGCGUAGGCGGGUCUUUUAAGUCAGGGGUGAAAUCCUGGAGCUCAACUCCAGAACUGCCUUUGAUACUGAAGAUCUUGAGUUCGGGAGAGGUGAGUGGAACUGCGAGUGUAGAGGUGAAAUUCGUAGAUAUUCGCAAGAACACCAGUGGCGAAGGCGGCUCACUGGCCCAUUACUGACGCUGAGGCACGAAAGCGUGGGGAGCAAACAGGG